rnacentral:rRNA from 1 species
UACGGGGGGGGCAAGCGUUGUUCGGAAUUACUGGGCGUAAAGCGCACGUAGGCGGCUUUGCAAGUCGGUUGUGAAAUCCCCGGGCUCAACCUGGGAACUGCAUCCGAGACUGCAUUGCUAGAGUAUGGGAGAGGAAAGCGGAAUUUCUGGUGUAGCAGUGAAAUGCGUAGAUAUCAGAAGGAACAUCAGUGGCGAAGGCGGCUUUCUGGACCAAUACUGACGAUCAGGUGCGAAAGCGUGGGGAGCAAACAGG